UCCAGGGCAGGCUGUUAGAGAAGGGGUUGCUUUUGUGGUGAUAGCUGGUGCCCUUAUAGUGAUUUGGGGUUAAUGAAAUAUUUACCCUGGGCCCCGGUGGUGUGUCCUCAUUUACCGCCAUCUCCUUAGAGCCCAGGGUGGAUAGAAUCUUUUCUGGUGUUUUUCAUAGAGUUCAUCUUUUCUGAAUUCUAGAUUGAAGAGGAAAGCGAGAGAGAAGCCAAUGUCUGCACAAGGAGUUCUCCAUAUGAAGAUGGCUCCAGACAUAUGUGAUGGAGAGUGUCCUUCAGAAACAGAUUAAAACUCCAUCCAUUAUACAGGAAUCAGGAAGCUCUCAAACUAAACUAAACAAGAAGGAAAGAAAUGGAGGGGAAAAAAGUCAACGGGAUACAACAAUGAACAACACCGGGAUUCUUGAGGGGUGAGGCAGGAAUUAAAGUAAAUGUGAUAUUUUUCAUUCCUGAUGUUCAAAAUAACUCAGUUGAAAGAACUGAAGAAGUAGAAGUUUAAGCAAAGGAACUACAAAGGUCCAAGAAAGAUCUGGAAGAUACAAAACAGGAUUAAUGAUAAAGAAGAAAUUAUUUGAAAGUACCAUGAAGUGAUGCCUUACUCAGGAAAAACAGCUCAAAAGAGAACUAAUGUUUUUCAUCAAGAAACUAUGGCAGCCAGAAGAAAAUGCCAAGAACUGAAAGGCAACAUGUAUCAACCCAGACUGCUAUACCAG
rnacentral:lncRNA from 1 species